UUUGCCCUCCCUGCUCCCUGCCCCAUAUAAGCAGAGCAGGAGGAGCCCAGCCCCAAGCUGGGCCCAUUGCGGGCCAAGGGAUCCUCCGCCGGCAUCCCAGGUGAGUGCGCACGGGCGAGCACCGGGGUGUGGUGGAGGGUUUCAAAGGCCGGGGGGCCUCGCUGGCCCCCCGGCUAGCUAGGGCCACCUUAGGGCUAGGCUGCUGACCAUUUGCGACGCUGACUUUUAGCUCACGGUGCUAAGGUUGUGCUGUUGUUGUUAUUGAGGCUGAGCUUUGUUUAGGAGUUUGCCUGCUUGAAGGACUUGUCACAGGUUCUGCCGCGGGUGAGAAGAUGCAGAUGGAGACGGAGACGAAGACAGAGAUGAAGAUGGAGACGAAGACAAAGAUGAAGAUGGAGGUAGUGGUAAUGGUGGAGCAGGAGCUGGUAAGCCUGCAGCUAACCGCAGCGGUGCCUCAACUCCAGAGCCACCAGGAAGAUGUCACUGUCUUCAGAGGCCACUGAAAAGGCUUUCAAGGCAACGUUUGGCUGUGCUCUCUCACUCCCAGGUCACAGCCUUCCUGCUUCCCAGCAGCAGCUGUGCUGUGCUCCAGAUGCUCCUGAG